UACGUAGGGGGCAAGCGUUGUCCGGAUUAUUGGGCGUAAAGAGCGUGUAGGCGGCCUGAAAGGUCAGCUGUGAAAACUCGAGGCUCAACCUCGAGACGUCGGUGGAAACCGCAUGGCUAGAGUCCGGAAGAGGAGAGUGGAAUUCCCGGUGUAGCGGUGAAAUGCGCAGAGUAUCGGGAAGAACACCCGUGGCGAAGGCGGCUCUCUGGGACGGUACUGACGCUGAGACGCGAAAGCGUGGG
rnacentral:rRNA from 1 species